rfam:Schistosoma margrebowiei strain Zambia genome assembly, scaffold: SMRZ_scaffold0000482
AUCCAGCUGACGAGUCCCAAAUAGGACGAGAUGCGCGCCCUGGAU